rnacentral:rRNA from 1 species
GUGGGGACUCUAGCCAGACUGCCUACGCAAGUAGUGAGGAAGGUGGGGACGACGUCAAGUCAUCAUGGCCCUUACGUCCAGGGCUGCACACGUGCUACAAUGGUUGGUACAAUGGGUAGCCACCCAGCGAUGGGGCGCAAAUCCACAAAACCAAUCUCAGUUCGGAUUGGAGUCUGCAACUCGACUCCAUGAAGUUGGAAUCGCUAGUAAUCGCGUAUCAGCAAUGACGCGGUGAAUACGUUCCCGGGCCUUGUACACACCGCCCGUCAAGCGAUGGAAGUCAGGAGUACCUGAUGUCGGCGUGCUAACCUUCGGGAGGCAGCUGCC